ACGCUCGACACCUACGGGAGGCNGCAGUGGGGAAUAUUGCACAAUGGGGGAAACCCUGAUGCAGCGACGCCGCGUGAGCGAAGAAGUAUUUCGGUAUGUAAAGCUCUAUCAGCAGGGAAGAAACUGACGGUACCUGACUAAGAAGCACCGGCUAAAUACGUGCAGCAGCCGCGGUAAUCUGAGCGGGCUGGCAAGGC
rnacentral:rRNA from 1 species